CCCAUGCUCUCUUGAUCUUCUUGAAUUUCUUUGACAGAUUUUACAGCGGAAAUGCUACAAUCAUGCAUUUCUAAUGACUCCAAAGUACAAAUUUCCCCAAUGUCUUUGGGGAUUUCCUCUAGGUAUAAGCAUCUUUUCAGAACUAGACGUUGCAGAUUUGGGAAGUUGACACUACCAGCUUCCCAGUGCUCAAGAUUGAUGUCUUUGGGGAUAUCCUCUAGGUAUAAGCAUCUUUUCAGAACUAGACGUUGCAGAUUUGGGAAGUUGACACUACCAGCUUCCCAGUGCUCAAGAUUUGUCCCAUCGAUUAGGAGGAACCUAAGUUGAUUGAAUUGCUCCUCAUCAUUUAAUCUCCA
rnacentral:lncRNA from 1 species